AGAGUUUGAUCCUGGCUCAGAACGAACGUUGGCGGCGUGGAUUAGGCAUGCAAGUCGCACGAGAAAGCUUCCUUCGGGAAGUUAGUAGAGUGGCGAACGGGUGAGUAACGCGUGGGGAACCUGCCCUCGAGUGGGGGAUAACACCUCUAACGGGGUGCUAAUACCGCAUGAAUCGACGGAUCGCAUGUUCCGUCGGGAAAGGUGGCCUCUCCUUGGAAGCUGCCGUUCGAGGAUGGCCCCGCGUCCCAUUAGCUUGUUGGUGGGGUAAUGGCCCACCAAGGCGACGAUGGGUAGCCGGCCUGAGAGGGUGUCCGGCCACACUGGGACUGAGAUACGGCCCAGACUCCUACGGAGGCAGCAGUCGAGAAGCUUCGGCAAUGGGCGAAAGCCUGACCGAGCGACGCCGCGUGAGCGAUGAAGGCCCUUGUGGUUGUAAAGCUCUGUCAGUGGGGAGUAAAGCCGGGUAGAGAAUACCUAUCCGGUGUGAAAGUACCCACAGAGGAAGCUCCGGCUAACUCCGUGCCAGCAGCCGCGGUAAUACGGAGGGAGCGAACGUUGUUCGGAUUUACUGGGUGUAAAGGGUGCGUAGGCGGCUUCGUGUGUCAGAGGUGAAAUCUACCGGCUCAACCGGUUAAAUUGCCUCUGAAACUGCGAGGCUUGAGUCCGGAAGAGGAAGGUGGAAUUCCUGGUGUAACGGUGAAAUGUGCAGAUAUCAGGAAGAACACCCGUGGCGAAGGCGGCCUUCUGGUCCGGUACUGACGCUGAGCACGAAAGCUAGGGUAUCGAACGGGAUUAGAUACCCCGGUAGUCCUAGCCGUAAACGAUGUCCACUAGGUGUAGGAGGUUCUACCCCUUCUGUGCCGCAGCUAACGCAUUAAGUGGACCACCUGGGGAGUACGCUCGCAAGGGUGAAACUCAAAGGAAUUGACGGGGGCCCGCACAAGCGGUGGAGCAUGUGGUUUAAUUCGAUGCAACGCGAAGAACCUUACCGGGGCUUGACAUCCAGGGGACAGGUGUGGAAAUACACCCUCCUUCGGGCUCCUGGACAGGUGCUGCAUGGCUGUCGUCAGCUCGUGUCGUGAAAUGUUGGGUUAAGUCCCGCAACGAGCGCAACCCUUGCCCUUAGUUGCCAGCACGUAAUGGUGGGAACUCUAGGGGGACUGCCGGUGAUAAACCGGAGGAAGGUGGGGACGACGUCAAGUCAUCAUGGCCCUUACGUCCCGGGCUACACACGUGCUACAAUGGCGUGUACAGAGGGUUGCGAACCCGCGAGGGGGAGCCAAUCCCAAAAAGCACGCCUCAGUUCGGAUUGCAGUCUGUAACUCGACUGCAUGAAGUCGGAAUCGCUAGUAAUCGCGGAUCAGCAUGCCGCGGUGAAUCCGUUCCCGGGCCUUGUACACACCGCCCGUCAAGUCAACCGAAUUGGUUGCACCCGAAGUCGUUGUGCCAACCCGCAAGGGAGGUAGGCGCCGAAGGUGUGGCUGAUGAGGGGGACUAAGUCGUAACAAGGUA
rnacentral:rRNA from 1 species